AGCCAUGCGAGUCAUUGUAGUAAUACAAGGCAGACGGCUCAGUAACGCGUAGUCAACCUAACCUAUGGACGGGAAUAACCUCGGGAAACUGAGUAUAAUGCCCGAUAGAACAUUAUGCCUGGAAUGGUUUAUGUUCCAAAUGAUUUAUCGCCGUAGGAUGGGACUGCGGCCUAUCAGUUUGUUGGUGAGGUAAUGGCCCACCAAGACUAUUACAGGUACGGGCUCUGAGAGGAGUAGCCCGGAGAUGGGUACUGAGACACGGACCCAGGCCCUAUGGGGCGCAGCAGGCGAGAAAACUUUGCAAUGUGCGAAAGCACGACAAGGUUAAUCCGAGUGGUUUCUGCUAAAGGAACCUUUUGUCGGUCCUAGAAACACCGAUGAAUAAGGGGUGGGCAAGUUCUGGUGUCAGCCGCCGCGGUAAAACCAGCACCUCAAGUGGUCAGGAUGAUUAUUGGGCCUAAAGCAUCCGUAGCCGGCUCUAUAAGUUUUCGGUUAAAUCUGUACGCUCAACGUACAGGCUGCCGGGAAUACUGCAGAGCUAGGGAGUGGGAGAGGUAGACGGUACUCGGUAGGAAGGGGUAAAAUCCUUUGAUCUAUUGAUGACCACCUGUGGCGAAGGCGGUCUACCAGAACACGUCCGACGGUGAGGGAUGAAAGCUGGGGGAGCAAACCGGAUUAGAUACCCGGGUAGUCCCAGCUGUAAACUAUGCAAACUCAGUGAUGCAUUGGCUUGUGGCUAAUGCAGUGCUGCAGGGAAGCCCGUUAAGUUUGCCGCCUGGGAAGUACGUACGCAAGUAUGAAACUUAAAAGGAUUGGCGGGG
rnacentral:rRNA from 1 species